rnacentral:rRNA from 1 species
CCCUUAGAUGUUCUGGGCCGCACGCGCGCUACACUGCUGCAUUCAACGAGUCUAAAACCUGCUCUGAUAGGGGUGGGUAAUCUUUUGAAUGUGCAUCGUGAUUGGGAUAGAUGAUUGCAAUUUUUCAUCUUCAACGAGGAAUGCCUAGUAAACGCAAGUCAUCAGCUUGCAUUGAUUACGUCCCUGCCCUUUGUACACACCGCCCGUCGCUCCUACCGAUUGAAUGAUCCGAUGAAUAUCAUGGAUUGAGGAUGCAAGUAGGUUAGCCUAUCUUCAUCUUCGAGAAGUGAAGUAAAUCUUAUCAUUUAGAGGAAGGAGAAGUCGUAACA